rnacentral:rRNA from 1 species
CUGCUGCCUCCCGUAGGAGUUUGGGCCGUGUCUCAGUCCCAAUGUGGCCGGUCACCCUCUCAGGUCGGCUACUGAUCGUCGGCUUGGUGGGCCGUUACCUCACCAACUACCUAAUCAGACGCGGGUCCCUCCUAUACCACUAUCGUUUUUCACUCAGCGCCAUGCGGCUCCGUGCGCUUAUGCGGUAUUAGCAGUCAUUUCUAACUGUUAUCCCCCUGUAUAGGGCAGGUUCCCCACGCGUUACUCACCCGUCCGCCG